CAAAAACUAAUUUGAGUGCCUACACAGAUGAACAUCGCAUAAAAAUCAAAAAUAAAAAACAGCAGCAGAGAUAAAAAAAAAGACAAUAAUUCUAAAAAAAUUUAAAUCAAAAGCUUAAGACUAACUCACAGGAAGUUCUGUGAGUUAAUUUUUUGGGCAAAAAAAAAUUCUAUUAAUGCAUUCUCAUACAAAAAAAAAUUCUUUAAAUACUGAUUUCAUGCGAUCCAGGAGCUAAGUGCUUAAAUCAGAAAAAUUUCUUUAACCCAGAUACUCUUAUAUUGCAGUGCAGCAAAGUUUUUCUUGAACGCUGACGAAUAUCACUCUGAAAUUAACCCAAAUAUAUCUCAGAGAUUGCAGAGAUUCAGACAAUCAAUAAUAAGAUGGCCGGAAUGUUCUUUAUUCAUUUGUCCUCCAUACUCUACCCUAAUCUUCUUAGGAUUUUAGUUAAACAACUUGCUCCUGUAACAGCUAUAUUAAAGCAUAAAUAUUCAUGAACACUCAUCACCAAUAGCAAAAAGGCAUAAAGUAUUUUUACAUAAAUCUAAAGAUCCCUUUUGUGUCCCAAACCCAGGUCUGUCCUCUCUUUGCCUUCCUCCUUCAGGGCAUAAUUAGAGAUACCCACCAACAGUAUAACCAGAAAAAUUGCAGUGAGAUUUUAAAGUACGAACUUUAUUUGAUAUUGCAAUGAAAUAUAACAAAAUGUAAAAAAAUUGUUAUUUUGGUAAUAGACAGUGGAAUAACAGAAGAAGCCGAACCCAGAAAAAUUAAAAACACAUAAUCACAGUAGAAGAAGCAAACCCAAGAAAAUACAUAAAAUAAAAUAAAAGGGUGCAACUUUUAUUGGCGGGUGAAUGAGUAGACAAUAAAAAAAAGUGCAAACUUUGAGUUCAAAACAAACCUCGUACCAUUGAAAUUUGAGACUUGGAGUCGCCCACGUGAAGGGUUUUAUGAGAAGACAGUAUUAGGCGUGCUGAAGUUAGUUUAUGCUUUUAGUUGUAAAUUCACAUCUAAUACUAGUUGAACACAAAUUUCAGCAAAUACACAGAAGAAAUAGCAAGAAUUCAUUUCAGAAAUGGGAAAAAAUUAAAUUAAAAAUAGAAAACAAAGGGCCGAAAAGCUGCAUACCUAAACACAAUUUCAUAUCUUUUUAUCCUCUUCGAGUACCGAUCCAUUCCAGAGAGAGGGAGAGAGGAGGAAGGAGACGACGAAGGGGGAGAGGAGGGAGAGGAAGGCGAGAGGAGGAAAACGACGGAGGCGAUUUACUGUCUGUGUUGUUCUCGCGGGGACUGCGAGAUGAACGAGGUGAGGAAUGACCAGGUGGCUCUGGGC
rnacentral:lncRNA from 1 species